AGAAAAAAAAAAGCGUCCCGUCUUCAUGUGUGUGUGGAUUUGAGUUUCUCGUGCAUGCUUAAGCUGGCCGGGGUAAGGGGAUAGAUAGUGCAAGCGUAUCAUACAGUGUUAUUGCAAUACAAAAGGGGGGUUGAGGAAAGACUCGGGAUUGAGGAGGAGCUCAGGAAUAAACUGGCUGGGACUGGAGACCUCCGGGAGGGUCUUCUUGCCAACCACCCUCCCAUCCCAUCAUCCCAUCCCCUGGGGGGAGGGGUUCUGUAGAGAGGGAGCUUAAUUCGGUCCUGGGGCUGAGUUUCCCCACACCACCAGUCCCGCUAUACAACUCUUGUGAGAUCAAGGGGGCGGCGUGGUCAGUGUCCAGCCAACUUAGCCAAC
rnacentral:lncRNA from 1 species